rnacentral:rRNA from 1 species
CUGGCGGCGUGCCUAACACAUGCAAGUCGAACGGAGUUACUGAAGGCAAAGCUUCGGCAGAGCCAUUGGUAAACUUAGUGGCGGACGGGUGAGUAACGCGUGGGCAACCUGCCUCAUACUGGGGGAUAACAGUUGGAAACGACUGUUAAUACCGCAUAAGCGCACAGUGUCGCAUGACACAGUGUGAAAAACUCCGGUGGUAUGAGAUGGGCCCGCGUCAGAUUAGCCAGUUGGCGGGGUAACGGCCCACCAAAGCGACGAUCUGUAGCCGGACUGAGAGGUCGGACGGCCACAUUGGGACUGAGACACGGCCCAAACUCCUACGGGAGGCAGCAGUGGGGGAUAUUGCACAAUGGAGGAAACUCUGAUGCAGCGACGCCGCGUGAGUGAAGAAGUAUUUCGGUAUGUAAAGCUCUAUCAGCAGAGAAGAAAGACCCGCAAGGGGGAUGACGGUACCUGACUAAGAAGCCCCGGCUAACUACGUGCCAGCAGCAGC